rnacentral:tRNA from 1 species
GCCCGGGUGGCGGAAUGGUAGACGCGGGGGACUUAAAAUCCCCUUCCUUCGGGAGUGCGGGUUCGAGUCCCGCCCCGGGCA